rnacentral:rRNA from 1 species
UUGACGGGGGCCCGCACAAGCGGUGGAGCAUGUGGUUUAAUUCGAUGCAACGCGAAGAACCUUACCUACUCUUGACAUCCACGGAAUCCUUUAGAGAUAGAGGAGUGCCUUCGGGAACCG